UACGUAGGGCGCAAGCGUUGUCCGGAAUUAUUGGGCGUAAAGAGCUCGUAGGUGGCUUGUCACGUCGGGUGUGAAAGCUUGGGGCUUAACUCCAGGUCUGCAUUCGAUACGGGCUGGCUAGAGGUAGGUAGGGGAGAACGGAAUUCCUGGUGUAGCGGUGAAAUGCGCAGAUAUCAGGAGGAACACCGGUGGCGAAGGCGGUUCUCUGGGCCUUACCUGACGCUGAGGCGCGAAAGCGUGGGGAGCAAACAGG
rnacentral:rRNA from 1 species